CCAAUAGCGUAUAUUAAAGUUGUUGCAGUUAAAAAGCUCGUAGUUGAAUUUCGGGAUUAGUACGCUGGUCGUGCCUUCGGUAUGUACUGGUGUUACUGGUUCCUACCUUCUGACGAACCGUCAUGUCAUUAAUUUGGUGUGGCUGGAAAUCAGGACUGUUACUUUGAAAAAAUUAGAGUGUUUAAAGCAGGCUCGCGCUUGAAUACAUUAGCAUGGAAGAAUGAAAUAGGACGUUCGAUCCUAUUUUGUUGGUUUCUAGGAUUGACGUAAUGAUUAAUAGGGAUAGUUAGGGGCAUUAGUAUUCAAUUGUCAGAGGUGAAAUUCUUGGAUUUAUUGAAGACUAACUACUGCGAAAGCAUUUGCCAAGGAUGUUUUCAUUAAUCAAGAACGAAAGUUAGGGGAUCGAAGACGAUCAGAUACCGUCGUAGUCUUAACCAUAAACUAUGCCGACUAGGGAUCGGAUGAUGUUAUUUUUAAUGACUCAUUCGGCGCCUUACG
rnacentral:misc_RNA from 1 species